rnacentral:rRNA from 1 species
ACGGGAGGCAGCAGUAGGGAAUAUUGGGCAAUGGGGGCAACCCUGACCCAGCAACGCCGCGUGAGGGAAGAAGGUUCUCUGGAUUGUAAACCUCUGUCCUAUGGGACGAAGAAGUGACGGUACCAUAGGAGGAAGCUCCGGCUAACUACGUGCCAGCAGCCGCGGUAAUACGUAGGGAGCGAGCGUUGUCCGGAAUUACUGGGCGUAAAGGGUGCGUAGGCGGUCUGGUAAGUCAGAUGUGAAAUACCCGUGCUUAACAUGGGGGGUGCAUCUGAUACUGUCGGACUUGAGUGCAGGAGAGGAAAGCGGAAUUCCUAGUGUAGCGGUGAAAUGCGUAGAUAUUAGGAGGAACACCAGUGGCGAAGGCGGCUUUCUGGACUGUAACUGACGCUGAGGCACGAAAGCGUGGGGAGCAAACAGGAUUAGAUACCCUGGUA